rnacentral:rRNA from 1 species
ACCCGCCACACGAACAAAACCCCGGCGCGAGACGCGCCAAGGAAUCAAAAACGAAAAGACAGGGAACGGGCGGCCCCGUCGAGUGCCGGAGACGGAUCUCUCGCGGGCGGCCCAUUCCCGUUCGGAAACAAAACGACUCUCGGCAACGGAUAUCUCGGCUCUCGCAUCGAUGAAAAAAGUAGCGAAAUGCGAUACUUGGGGUGAAUUGCAGAAUCCCCUGAACCCUCUAGUCUUUUAACGCAAGUUUCGCCCCAAACCUUCUGGGCGAGGGGACGUCUGCCUGGGUGUGAUGCGUCGUCUCCCCUCCCCAUCCUUUCGGGUCCGCCCGAGGGGGAAAAAGGGGGGGCCGGGCAGGGGGGGAAAGGGCUCCCCUGCGCUCCCCCUCUCGGGUUGGCCCAAUAUCCGAUUUUUGGGGGCCAGAGAGCCCCC